CCCUUAGAUGUCCGGGGCUGCACGCGCGCUACAAUGGUCGGAGCAGAAUGAAAAGAGACGGCUCCGCGAGGCGGGAGCGUCCUUCGGGGCCUCCCGUUCUUAAUGGUUGACCGUUCCCCGGGUCGACGGGCCCGGGAGAUCGGCUGGAAUCUCGAUCGUGAUCGGGACAGAGUCUUGUAAUUGUUACUCUCAAACGAGGAAUUCCUAGUAGGCGCGAGUCAUGACCUCGCGUCGACUGCGUCCCUGCCCUUUGUACACACCGCCCGUCGCUACUACCGAUUGAAUGCUCAGGUGAGCCAUUCGGACUUUCAUCAUGCUGGUUUCCAGUUUUGAUGAAGGAAAGUCUUGCGAACCUUAUCAUUUAGAGGAAGGAGAAGUCGUAACA
rnacentral:rRNA from 1 species